UAUCGGGUCUCAGCUCCUGCUUAAACAGAUAAACCAUGUGUGCCUCGUCCCUGGCCACAAACGGCACACAGUUCAGGAGUCGAGUGAACUCCCGAAUGUACUCCUGCACCGGCCGAUCCCCCUGCUGAAUCCUCUUCAAAUCCUCCUCGAGCUUCUGUUUCACACUGUUGAAAAAAUACAUCCCAAACAGCAUUCCUCAGAACUUAUCCCAUUUCAGCUGUAACGCUACCAGUCCCUGCUCUCGUUUCACUCUCCUCCACCAGGUGUGUGCAUCACCUGCCAAGCAACGGACUCCCAAAGAUACCUGCUCCCACUCAGGGAUGAACAGGUCCUCAAAUAACUUCUCUAUCGCACUGACCCAGCCCUCAACAACCCAAGCCUCAGUGCAACUGCCAUCGA
rnacentral:lncRNA from 1 species